rnacentral:misc_RNA from 1 species
GGAAGUAAAAGUCUUAACAAGGUUUCCGUAGGUGAACCUGCGGAAGGAUCAUUAUUGUAUAACCGAGGUGCGAGGGCUGUCGCUGACCCGAAAGGUCGUGCACGCCCGAGUGCCCUCACACACAUCCAUCUCACCCCAUAUGUGCACCACCGCGUGGGUCCCCCUUUGGCUUGUUCGGAGGGGGGCUUACGUUUUCACACAAACUUUGUAUGCAGUGUAGAAUGUAUUUUUUGUUUUUGCGAUCACGCAAUCAAUACAACUUUCAACAACGGAUCUCUUGGCUCUC